UGUUGGGAGAUCCAGAAGGAUCGAGAGAGAGGAGAGAAUCAGAGUUCUCUCUCUGACCCGAAACGAAACCCAGAAACCGGCAACAGGGUCCGACCGGCGCUACUUCGUCCGGCCACUGAUCGACGACGGACGACCACCAUAUUCUUCGCCUCUUCGUCGCCUAUAGCCUGAUGCUCUUGGAUCGUCCAUGCACCUGACAAGGACGAAGAGUCGACGGUGAAGGUCCAAGCUUUCGCCGGCGAUCUCUGCAAGUUUCCGGCCACCAUUCAAGGCGCAUUCGGCGACUUCUCUGGCCUCUCUUGGUUCGCUCUUCACCUCGUUUCCACUUGUUGAUGCUUAAUGUUCUAGAAUGAAGCUAAUUUUCAGAAACUGCUAGCUGGUGUGUUGGAUUCCCAGUUCGUCAUCAUCUUUGUUCAACCGAGCUUGCUUGGAGUAGUUUUUGAAGGACUCCAGUUACCCGAGGAACAGAAGGUUCGCAACUCUCGGAGUACGUGAGAGAAAGCAUCGGAAUCUAGGUAGGGAUUCAGGACUCUCCUCGGUUGGUGAUUUUUUUUUAAUAUUUUUAUUAAUGUGAUGCAUGUUAAGUAGUAUGGUUUGGUUAAGUUCAAAUGCGACGCAUACUAACCAAAUAACCAAAUCAUGAGAAAAUGUGUGAUGGCUUGAGAGCGAAGGGUGGCUCUGACUUCCUUGGGUUCGAUCCCCAAAACCUCCGGAGGGUUAGUUACGCCGGUCGUCCGGGUAUUCCGAUCGUAAUGACGGGCUCGGUACGUGUGCGUAGCUAGGUAGCGGACGCUCUCGCUACGCUUACCUGGUGAUGAAGUAGAUUGAGGUAAGGUCGUGUAGUGGGUCUAUGGGACCGACUAUCUGGUAAGAUUCAGCGCGCGUAUUCAAUUUUGUAUCAUGCAUCGAUUUUCGAGUUAAAAAGCAUUCUUAUAAAGUUUGUCGUUCUUUAAAAUAUUUGGUUUAAGUAUGUUUCAUACUGGAGCGCUCCCAAUACUGGUCUAUUGAUUUUCAAACCUAGUCGAGUUAGAGUUCCUGUUGAGCAGCGAGGACGAAAGCUCACCCCUA